GUUGGUUGCAAUGUCUCGCGUUCGGUCGGAGUGAAGCCCUCAUGGCUGCAGUAAUUUUCUUUUCAUGAAAGGUUCUAAGACUUUCAGAACUCUUCACAUUCUAUCUUGUAACUUACCUCGUUUGUUUCGCGGAAACUCUGCGGUGUAUGUGGAAACGAUCGUGUGAAGUAGUUCGUCGCUUGAAUUGAGUCUUUCAUUUUCUCGAAAGUCACUGACUCGUGCCCGGUGUCUGAGUGAAUCGUAUGAGGGCAACUGAUGUCCAAAAUUACCAUCAAUUUUCUUAGUUCUAUAUCGCAUCGUCGUUCUCGGCAUUUACUUUCGCAGUGCGUGGCUCGGUACCUCCUGUGUUUCGAGAAAACUCUUUUCGUAAGGACAUGAAAACGAUCGUGUCUAUCAAUUUGUCAUUGAAUUGGACGAUGGCUGCCAUUGAGAGCUUCUCUUUUGCUCGAAAUUUUCGGUAAUUCGUGCCCGGCGUUUGAGUGAACUGAAUUUGGGUAAUUGAUAUUUGAUAUACCCAAAAUUUUCCUCGAUUUGCGUGGUUUCCUGUGUUUCGGUGUGCCUGUAUGAACCUCUCCAUUUUUCUUUGAACAGAUUCGCGUGGGAUUUUCUGUUGAGCGGAGGUGGGGAUUCGGGAGUGAUGUUUGCCCCUCGUGAGUCGUGUCCGCGUAUUUCUGUGUGUGCGUGCGCGUUGCGGCAUAAGUGUUUCUUGUGUAUCGGCUCCGCGUUUGAAGUGUGUCCGCGUCUCCUUUUCAAUCUACCUACCACUAUUAAUUUGAUUGAUUGUUCCUUACCAUUUGAAGGAGUUAGAUGUCUGGCCACAGCUUCCUUUGGUGCGUGUAUAUCUUGGCGUUGGUCUGGAUUCAGUGCGCAGUGCGAUUCCAGUGAAAGUGUGGUGUCGUGAGUGCUUACAGCUUGGCGUCGGGCAAUUGGAUAACUCUCCUCUGAUUUUCCUGCGUCCUAACUUGUGUGU